AGUGAACGCUGGCGGUAGGCCUAACACAUGCAAGUCGAACGGCAGCACAGUAAGAGCUUGCUCUUACGGGUGGCGAGUGGCGGACGGGUGAGGAAUACAUCGGAAUCUACUUUUUCGUGGGGGAUAACGUAGGGAAACUUACGCUAAUACCGCAUACGACCUACGGGUGAAAGCAGGGGAUCUUCGGACCUUGCGCGAUUGAAUGAGCCGAUGUCGGAUUAGCUAGUUGGCGGGGUAAAGGCCCACCAAGGCGACGAUCCGUAGCUGGUCUGAGAGGAUGAUCAGCCACACUGGAAGUGAGACACGGUCCAGACUCCUACGGGAGGCAGCAGUGGGGAAUAUUGGACAAUGGGCGCAAGCCUGAUACAGCCAUACCGCGUGGGUGAAGAAGGCCUUCGGGUUGUAAAGCCCUUUUGUUGGGAAAGAAAAGCAGCAGGUUAAUACCCCGCUGUUCUGACGGUACCCAAAGAAUAAGCACCGGCUAACUUCGUG
rnacentral:rRNA from 1 species